rnacentral:rRNA from 1 species
UACGGAGGGGACUAGCGUUGUUCGGAAUUACUGGGCGUAAAGCGCACGUAGGCGGAUUUGUAAGUCAGGGGUGAAAUCCCGAGGCUCAACCUCGGAACUGCCUUUGAUACUGCGAAUCUCGAGUCCGGAAGAGGUGAGUGGAAUUCCUAGUGUAGAGGUGAAAUUCGUAGAUAUUAGGAAGAACACCAGUGGCGAAGGCGGCUCACUGGCCCGUAACUGACGCUCAGGCGCGAUAGCGUGGGGAUCAAACAGG